CCCUUAGAUGUUCGGGGCCGCACGCGCGCUACACUGAAGGAAUCAGCACGUCUUUCUCCUUGUCCGAAAGGACUGGGUAACCCGCUGAACCUCCUUCGUGCAAGGGAUUGGGGCUUGUAAUUCUUCCCCAUGAACGAGGAAUUCCCAGUAAGCGCGAGUCAUAAGCUCGCGUUGAUUACGUCCCUGCCCUUUGUACACACCGCCCGUCGCUACUACCGAUUGGAUGGUUUAGUGAGAUCCUCGGAUUGGUCCCGGAGCGGCCUCUGGUCGUGCCGGAGUGCCGAAAAGAAUGUCGAACUUGGUCAUCUAGAGGAAGUAAAAGUCGUAACA
rnacentral:rRNA from 1 species